UAGGGAAUCUUCGGCAAUGGACGAAAGUCUGACCGAGCAACGCCGCGUGAGUGAAGAAGGUUUUCGGAUCGUAAAACUCUGUUGUUAGAGAAGAACAAGGACGUUAGUAACUGAACGUCCCCUGACGGUAUCUAACCAGAAAGCCACGGCUCACUACGUGCCAGCAGCCGCGGUAAUACGUAGGUGGCAAGCGUUGUCCGGAUUUAUUGGGCGUAAAGCGAGCGCAGGCGGUUUCUUAAGUCUGAUGUGAAAGCCCCCGGCUCAACCGGGGAGGGUCAUUGGAAACUGGGAGACUUGAGUGCAGAAGAGGAGAGUGGAAUUCCAUGUGUAGCAGUGAAAUGCGUAGAAAUAUGGAGGAACACCAGUGGCGAAGGCGGCUCUCUGGUCUGUAACUGAAGCUGAGGCUCGAAAGCGUGGGGAGCAAACAGG
rnacentral:rRNA from 1 species